rnacentral:rRNA from 1 species
CCUACGGGAGGCAGCAGUGGGGAAUAUUGGACAAUGGGCGAAAGCCUGAUCCAGCAAUGCCGCGUGAGUGAUGAAGGCCUUCGGGUCGUAAAGCUCUUUUACCAGGGAUGAUAAUGACAGUACCUGGAGAAUAAGCUCCGGCUAACUCCGUGCCAGCAGCCGCGGUAAUACGGAGGGAGCUAGCGUUGUUCGGAAUUACUGGGCGUAAAGAGUACGUAGGCGGUUAUUCAAGUCAGAGGUGAAAGCCCGGGGCUCAACCCCGGAACUGCCUUUGAAACUAGAUAACUAGAGUCUUGGAGAGGUUAGUGGAAUUCCGAGUGUAGAGGUGAAAUUCGUAGAUAUUCGGAAGAACACCAGUGGCGAAGGCGACUAACUGGACAAGUACUGACGCUGAGGUACGAAAGCGUGGGGAGCAAACAGGAUUAGAUACCCUGGUAGUCCACGCCGUAAACGAUGAUAACUAGUUGUUCGUCUACUGUGUACUGAGUGACGCGAGACUACGACAUUAAGUUAUCCGUCCGUCGGGUAGGUACGGUCGCGAGAGUAAACGUAACGAAAGAAAGUAGAGGACGUGUAAGUAGUGCGACGACGACGACGAGGGAGGAGG